UCAAACUUGGUCAUUUAGAGGAAGUAAAAGUCGUAACAAGGUUUCCGUAGGUGAACCUGCGGAAGGAUCAUUAACACUUCUAUUAUUAUCCAAUAAUAAUAAAACAACACGGUCACUUUUUUCUCCCUCAGCGUCUCGCUGGAGACAGCGGGUUGAGGCUAACCUUUUUUUCUAUCUUUUAACCCCAUUCAUUAAAAUUAACUCUUCGUUGAAAUUUGCCGAAAGGCUCAACGAACUAACUAAAAUAUACAUUGGUUAUAUUUUAUUUUUUACGAAAUAAUCUAUAAUAUUUAUAAGAACAACUCUUAGCAAUGGAUAUCUUGGUUCUCGCAUCGAUGAAGAACGCAGC
rnacentral:misc_RNA from 1 species